AACCUGAAGGGUGAUAGGCCACGAAACACAAUCAACUUGAUGGCGGGAAAGAUACAAGCCUGGGAGAAUGAGACGGCAGUGAUCGUGGGAAGACAGACAUCUGCAAACAGGGCUUUGCUUGUUUUUAAGGAAAAAACUAAGGAGAAGUAGUAGUCAUUUUACUGGAUCCAGGAAAAAGAGGGAAGGCUUGCGUCAUUGGAUUAGUGUUGAUCGUCUUCUUCUUUCCUCUGGCUCAGCUCCUCUUUAAGUGCCUGGGUUCUCUUCAGGCACUCCUGCUUUUCCUCUUCAAGGUAUCUCAUCUUCCUCUGGGAUUCAUUAUUUCCUCUCUUCACCCGGGCAAGCUCAUUUUCAGCUCAGCAUCCUGGGCACCUAUUGUUUUUCUUGCAGUUAAAUCCCCUUCCAGUCGAAAAGCUUCUCCUCAAGGGAAACUUUACAAUGUCUGCAGUCUCCUAAUUCAGCAAUAGCUGCAUGUCAGGAAUCUCUUACAUAGACAGGAUUUUCUCAGCCUUCAGUUCCCCGUUAUCCCCUGAUAAAAUAUGCAAUGAAGAUUCAAGUUUUUUAUUUUCAAAUUUGACCUCAUUAAGUGUUCUUUUAAGAUCCCGAAUCUCAUCUUGAAGCAGUGAUGUUUUCAGCAAUUGGAUCCCAAGCCUGGAAGUUUCUUCUGUAAUUUGUUGCUUCUCAUAUGCAGAAACUUUAAGUUUUAAUUCCAGCCCCUUAACAAUGCUUUUA